CGCAAGCAUAUUCUUAAUGGUCUUAUACAGCCGUUAAAAUUCAGUUUAGAUGAGGUUUCUGUGUCGGCAUGCAAAUGGUAUUAUGAUCAGUGUCAACUGUGGUUAACUCAUGUCAUUGUACAGUGAUCCAGAAAAGAAAACUGAAGCUAUUUCAACGAGUCUCGAUGUUUUGUUAUUUUGAAUAAUUGCUUGUAUACCUUAAAGCGCGUCUG